UUCGCGCGGCAGAACUUGAAAAGAACAGAAACUCAGAUUUCUCCUUUGUUUCCACUGCGAGAGAGAGAGAGAGAGAGUACUCUUCUUGGUGCGCCCCUGUUGGUGCGCCCAGAAUGGCACCCAAAGUACUGAUGGUUGCAGAGAAGCCAAGCAUCGCUCUCUCCCUCGCCUCAGCUCUUUCCAAUGGUCGAAUGUCCACACGACGAGGUAGCACUGAAGUCCAUGAAUUUGAUGGAACAUUUCGAGGCUUUCAUGCACAUUAUAAAGUGACAUCUGUCAUUGGGCACGUCUUCAGUGUAGACUUUCCACCAACAUAUCAAAACUGGGAAGUGACAGAUCCUAUGGAUCUUUUCCAGGCUUCGAUUUUGAAGGCAGAAUCAAACCCGAAGGCUCAUAUUUGUCGGCAUUUAAGCCAAGAAGCUCGUGGGUGCGAGUUUCUGGUACUGUGGCUGGAUUGUGACCGGGAAGGAGAAAAUAUAUGCUUUGAAGUUAUUGAAUGUACUGGGUUUCACAAAAUGGAGGCUAUGAAGAGAGUUUACCGUGCUCGAUUUUCUUCUGUUACUGAGAAAGACAUAUUGAAGGCCAUGGAUAGCCUUGUUGAACCCAAUAGGGAUGAAGCAUUGGCUGUUGAUGCACGCCAAGAGAUAGACCUGAAAGUUGGAGUUGCAUUUACGCGGUUUCAAACUCGCUAUUUCCAAGGAAAAUAUGGGAACCUUGAUUCCAGAGUUAUUUCGUAUGGGCCAUGUCAAACCCCUACUCUUGGAUUUUGUGUGCAACGGCACUUGCAAAUUACUACGUUUAAGCCAGAAAAAUCUUGGGCGUUGCACCCUUACAUCAUAAAAAUUGGCUAUGAACUGAAGUUAGAAUGGGAACGCGAGAAGCUUUUUGACCUUGACGUUACUGUGAUGUUUCAAAAAUUGGUUGCUGAAGAUGGUAUUCUAAGUGUAACUGAUAUAUCUGCUAAGGAAGAGUGCAAAAGCCGUCCAUCUGGCCUUAACACCGUGAAUAUGCUAAAGGUUGCUUCAAGUGCAUUAGGAUUAGGACCUCAAACAGCCAUGCAAAUAGCUGAACGUUUGUACACUCAAGGUUUCAUCAGCUAUCCACGUACUGAGAGCACAGCCUACCCUGCCUCAUUUGACUUCGGAGGCACACUUUCAGUGCAGCUUAAUAAUCCUGUUUGGGGUGAUGAUGUGCGGACACUACUAGCUAAUAGAUUUCACAAGCCACGAACGGGAACUGAUGCCGGUGACCAUCCUCCCAUAACUCCAAUGCGAUUAGCAACUGAGGAUAUGUUAGGUAAUGAUGCUUGGAGAUUAUACCAGUACAUCACUCAACAUUUCAUCGGGACUGUGAGUCCUGACUGUAAAUACCUAAGGACAAAAGUAGAAUUAUCAGCUGGAGGGGAGUCCUUCAAUUGUAUAGGGCUGCAGGUUAUCGACGAGGGAUUUACAUCUAUUAUGCCAUGGAUGGCUGUGAAUGAAAAGAACCUUCCGCAGUUUUCAAAGGGAGAGAGAAUAAAAAUUUCAAAAAUUGACCUAUAUGAGGGGAGCACCACACCUCCAGAUUACCUCAGUGAGAGUGAGAUUAUUUCUCUCAUGGAAAAGAAUGGGAUAGGCACAGAUGCAUCCAUUCCUGUUCACAUUAACAACAUAUGUGAGCGUAACUAUGUGCAGGUCCAAGGUGGGAGGAGGUUGGUCCCUACAGCCCUAGGAAUCACCUUGAUAAGAGGAUACCAAUGCAUUGAUCCAGACCUAUGUUUGCCAGACAUCCGUAGCUUCAUUGAACAGCAGAUCACCCUUAUUGCAAAGGGUCAAGCGGACCAUAUUCGUGUUGUGCAACAUGUACUGCAGCAAUUUACCCAAAAGUACUCUUAUUUUGUUAAGCAGAUUGAAACUAUGGAUGAAUUGUUUGAAGCACAGUUCUCACCGUUGGCAGAUUCAGGACGUUUACUAAGCAAGUGUGGUAAAUGCGUUCGGUACAUGAAGUACAUCUCAACCCAACCAUCCCGUUUGUAUUGUGGUACCUGUGAGGAGGUUUAUCAUCUUCCUCAAAGGGGCACCAUUAAGCUGUAUAAGGAACUUGUGUGUCCUCUCGACAAUUUUGAGCUAUUACUGUUCUCCUUGGCGGGCCCAGAAGGCAAGUCCUUCCCCCUCUGCCCUUAUUGCUACAACAGCCCUCCAUUUGAAGGGAUAGACACACUAUUCGGUGCCCUUAAGACGGGCAGUUCGAGCAAGUUGGGCAAGGGAGCCGGCAUGCCUUGCUUCCUCUGCCCGCACCCCACAUGUCCACAUUCUUUGAUAGCUCAAGGAGUGUGUGCUUGCCCUGAGUGCAAUGGGACACUUGUCCUUGAUCCGGUCAGCGCCCCCAAGUGGAGGCUUUACUGCAACAUGUGCAACUGCCUCGUCUACCUCCCUCAGGGUGCACACAAGAUCUCAACGACACGUGACCGGUGCCCUGAGUGUGACUCGACGAUCAUUGAAGUGGAUUUCAACAAGAAGACAACACCAUUGAGCGAUGGAGCCACUUUGCAUGUGGGGUGCAUCUUGUGCGAUGAGUUGCUGCAUUCACUUGUGGAGAUGAAGCAUGGGAAGUCUUUUUUGAAGCGGGUGGGAGGGAGAGGGAGAGGGAGAGGCAGAGGGAGAGGAGCAGGCAGGGGGCGGGGACGUAGUGGUGGGAAACGUGAGGACCCCAAGAUGAGCUUUCGAGAUUUCUGAGGCAAAAAUGGUCGAUUCAGCAUAUUCUCAAGUAACAUCUUGAGUUUCUUGAACAAAAGGGCAGCUAAGGUAUUUAUGCUGCAGGUAGCCAUAAUCCCUUGGGAGGUUAGCUUUUUUAUGUUUUGAGAUGAAAGAGUUCCCAGGUUGAAGACUACACUUACUAUGCCAGAAGCGUUGCAUUUGGUGUGAGAUGUUGAGUGUUAAAGCUCAAGGUUUUUAAAACAUGAGCAUGGCUUCCUCUCCUUGUUAUCUCCGUUUGAAUCUUAUUGAGUUCUGUGACUUCUGUAUAUUUUGAGGAGAAAAUAAUGAAAAAUGCUCCAGUGCUUCCAGAGCUCUGAAAGUUAUAGCGCUUCUAGUUGCAUCCAUUCAGUUGGACAGUUCAAUCGAUCAAUCUGAACCAUUUAUUCACUGCAGAA